AUUGAACGCUGGCGGCAUGCUUUACACAUGCAAGUCGGACGGCAGCACAGAGAAGCUUGCUUCUUGGGUGGCGAGUGGCGAACGGGUGAGUCACAUAUCGGAACGUACCGAGCAGUGGGGGAUAACUAAUCGAAAGAUUAGCUAAUACCGCAUAUUUUCUGAGGAAGAAAGCAGGGGACCUUUGGGCCUUGCGCUGUUUGAGCGGCCGAUAUCUGAUUAGCUAGUUGGUGGGGUAAAGGCCUACCAAGGCGACGAUCAGUAGCGGGUCUGAGAGGAUGAUCGGCCACACUGGGACUGAGACACGGCCCAGACUCCUACGGGAGGCAGCAGUGGGGAAUUUUGGACAAUGGGCGAAAGCCUGAUCCAGCAAUGCCGCGUGUAUGAAGAAGGCCUUCGGGUUGUAAAGGACUGUUGUCAGGGAAGAAAAGGGCGGGGUUAAUACCCCUGUCUGAUGACGGUACCUGAAGAAUAAGCACCGGCUAACUACGUG
rnacentral:rRNA from 1 species